AUUGAACGCUGGCGGCAGGCCUAACACAUGCAAGUCGAACGAGUGGCGGACGGGUGAGUAAUGUCUGGGAAACUGCCCGAUGGAGGGGGAUAACUACUGGAAACGGUAGCUAAUACCGCAUACCAUCGGAUGUGCCCAGAUGGGAUUAGCUAGUAGGUGGGGUAACGGCUCACCUAGGCGACGAUCCCUAGCUGGUCUGAGAGGAUGACCAGCCCCACGGGAACGGAGACACGGGCCAGAAUCCUACGGGAGGCAGCAGUGGGGAAUAUUGCAAAAUGGGCGCAAGCCUGAGGCAGCCAUGCCGGGUGUAUUAAGAAGGGCUUCGGGGUGUAAAGUACUUUCAGCGAGGAGGAGUUACUCGCAGAAGAAGCACCGGCUAACUCCGUGCCAGCAGCCGCGGUAAUAC
rnacentral:rRNA from 1 species